UACCUCUGGCUCCUUUGCAUUUAACCGAGAAAAUCUUUCGCCUUUUACUAAAGAUUUCCGUGCAAAGGAGCAAUUAUGAGUGUGUUAAGAAUUUUUGGAAUCCCCUCGAAAGAGCGGGAU
rnacentral:snRNA from 1 species